AUUGAACGCUGGCGGCAGGCCUAACACAUGCAAGUCGAACGGUAACAGGGAUCAGCUUGCUGAUUCGCUGACGAGUGGCGGACGGGUGAGUAAUGUCUGGGAAACUGCCUGAUGUAGGUGGAUAACUACUGGAAACGGUAGCUAAUACCGCAUAACGUCGCAAGACCAAAGAGGGGGACCUUCCGGCCUCUUGCCAUCGGAUGUGCCCUGAUGGGAUUAGGUAGUAGGUGGGGUAACGGCUCACCUAGGCGACGAUCCGUAGCUGGUCUGAGAGGAUGACCAGCCACACUGGAACUGAGACACGGACCAGACUCCUACGGGAGGCAGCAGUGGGGAAUAUUGGACAAUGGGCGCAAGCCUGAUGCAGCCAUGCCGCGUGUAGGAAGAAGGCCUUCGGGUUGUAAAGUACUUUCAGCGGGGAGGAAGGGAGUAAAGUUAAUACCUGUGCUCAUUGACGUUACCCGAAGAAGAAGCACCGGCUAACUACGUG
rnacentral:rRNA from 1 species